rnacentral:rRNA from 1 species
CCCUUAGAUGUCCGGGGCUGCACGCGCGCUACACUGAAGGAAUCAGCGUGCUAAAACCAUUGUCGAAAGGCAUUGGUAAACCCAUUAAAAUCCUACGUGAUUGGGAUCGGGAAUUGCAAUUAUUUCCCUUGAACGAGGAAUUCCCAGUAAGUGUGGGUCUUAAGCUCGCGUUGAUUACGUCCCUGCCCUUUGUACACACCGCCCGUCGCUGCCCGGGACUGAGCCGUUUCGAGAAAAGCGGGGACUGCUGCUGUCGGGGCUUUCGGGCCUUGGCUUCGGUGGAAACCGCUUUAAUCGCAGUGGCUUGAACCGGGCAAAAGUCGUAACA